rnacentral:ncRNA from 1 species
GAAAAGGCAUUGAACGUGAUUAGUAGUGCACUAUAAUUCUUUCAGAGAGAGUGGGUCACCGGCUGAAAACCCAUUUAAGACAAGGUAGGAAGCGAAGUUCGCACGGGAGCUGCAUUUGUGAAAUGACAGUAGCAGAUGACGUCCAUGCACGUUACGCAUGUUAAGAGCUUUUUGUCAAUAUUCGUGGCAGAAAGAAUCAGGGUGGUAUCGCGGAAUCAUUCGUCCCUGGA